UGCAAACACUGUCAUGCAGCGGGAAACACGCCUUUCGCAUCUGAAAAGUCUAUAAAACAUAUUUGACACGCAGAUCCAAACAGCAAAGACAGACAGACAGACUGAUAUGGAAACCAACCUCAGAGUUGACAUACUUGAAUGUCUAUGGAGACCUUUACGAAGAGUCUGGAGAAUCCUGAGCUGCUUCUGUGUACCUGUCAACUCCGAAAUAAGACAUUCAGUGGAAGAAAUGUCACCACCAUACCAUGGCCCGAGCUCUGUCCGUCCAUGGUUUGGGAAUCAAAGUGAUGAUGAUGAUGAUGGAGUUUAGUUCAUUGGAUCAGUUUAGAUGACAAUUUUCUAUGAAUUGAUGAUCAGUCAAACUACAGAAUUCUUGGACCUAGAUUUAAAACCCAAUUUUGUAAAACACUGAGAAGAUGAAUCUGCUUCCCCUCUAUGAUUGUCACCCAGCCAUCAUAUGUCUGUCCCACAACCAGACUUGCAGUGGAUUUCAAAAGGAGGAAAGCUGUUACUUUGUUCUUUAAGUAUUGUGUGAGAUCUAACCAACUGUCAGUGGUAUCUUGUCACCAAAGUGAGACUUAAAUGGCAAACAGUGAAUGAAAUGUUAAUAUAGUCAUAUGGUAAACAGACAGAUACUAUUGAGCAAAGUAUGAGUCUGUGAUAAUUGGCAGUUUUUUAAGGGAUGGUUCCAUCCUAUUUCUAGCAUGUCUAGCUCAUUCUUUAAAAACCCAUUGCAGACCCUGAACCUAGACCUAAACAGUUUUUGCCCCUUCUUUAAACUAGAAAAAUUCUGCAGAAGCUGGUCUUUUUGCAGCAAAAAUCCUUUUUAACUAAAAACAAUGGGUCUCAUUCACUAAUCAAAGCAUGGGUGUUGGGCCUCAUGUAUUCAGAUAGAAGACAAAGGCAGGCCUAAUACAGUCAUAAAAACCUAACUCAAGCCCCCACCUUCCAAGUCAUUAAAUCUCACUGAUAAAAAUCACACCAAAAUCAAACAAAAGGAGUCCAAAACAGACUACAAAUCCAUGAAGCCUUGCUCACUAAAGGAUCGAGCUCUCAACUCAUUGGAUGAGGCACACAACAUAAUGUCCCUCAAACAUGACAUCAUCAGGAGUUGAAAUACCUCCGUUUGCCUACAGAAUUCACUUCCAGCGACUUUGUUCACCGAAUAUAGACGUAGCUCUUUGCUGCUCUCAGGUGCAACCUCGUGGCACAAGGAAGUAACAUCCGACUUGAAACUGUGGCCAUACAAUCUCCAUCUCACUGGACGAGUUGAGAUUACUCUGUGUUCAACUGAACACUCUAACGGAUCCGAAGGAGACCGCCGAGCAAUUCGCAUCUUCAUCCGUUUGCCUACAGAAGUGAAGAGAUUAAAGAUUUCUCUUCCAUCUUCAAUCAAGUCAACAUUUCUGAGUUCUCUGCCAGCCCGCCGAGAGUCAACAGCCGUACUGCCCACCGACAGAGCGAGGAAACGGCCUCCCGUCAUCGCCCGAGCCUCAAGGAACCGGGUCAGAGUUAAAGGACGGAUGAACACACAUUCUGUCCUCAUGCGAUUCAAGUAAGAGGUUUACGUCUGGGCAGAGAUAGAAUAUUAUAGUGUGUUAUUCUUGUGUUUCAAGGUUUUUGCUUGUACAGUUUACGGACCGCCAUGUCCGCUCAUUAUUAAUACUCGGGGUAUUAAUUAUCAUGAAUUUGUUUUGCUGUAUUGUGGUCCAACCACAUUGGACUGUUGUGCAAUUUUGCCAUCGCGGGUGAGACAGCAACUGAGUUCAUCCAUUAAAGAGUCAAAUAACGCGGGACUUUUACGAGCCGUCCACCGCAUCUCUGAGUGAUAAACACAGCUGCUUUCUCUCCCACUAUAGCGAAAUUGGCUUUAGGGCUGUCACUUAAUCAUCUCUCUCUCUCUCUUACUAAUCACACACACACACACACACACACACCUUAUGUGUUAUAGGAUUAUUUUUAUUUCCAUAUCUAAUCAUAUCACUGUUUAGUUUGUAGUUGUA